rnacentral:misc_RNA from 1 species
AGAAUUCAUUGUAUCCAAACUCUAUGUAAGAGUUUAUUCUGCCCCCCCUUCCCCCCAGGCCUGUUCCUCCCACUUCUUUUCCUUUCUUUUCAAUUUCUCUGCUUGCAUAAUAAAUACCUAUAUGUUGUUAAAUAUAGGCUUUCACAAUCAUAGUUGCUUACAGGAAGAUUGUUAAACAGUGUUUAUUUUAGUGCUUUGGUUUGAAUUAUGUGGAUCAACUCUUGGUUUCUUUUGUUUUAGUUAGAUGCAGAUCAGUCUUUACUCCCCUGUGUAUCAUAAACUAAAACUGAAUAGGCAAGCCUAGGAAAUUUGAUUUGUCUGGUUCAGUUUCUUUUAGCUAUGAUUUCUUUCACAUCAAAUUUGUUGAAAAAUUGUAGUUGGUUUAUUUUUAUUUCUUAAGAACCA